AUUGAACGCUGGCGGCAGGCUUAACACAUGCAAGUCGAGCGGGGUGAUGGUGCUUGCACUAUCACUUAGCGGCGGACGGGUGAGUAAUGCUUAGGAAUCUGCCUAUUAGUGGGGGACAACAUCUCGAAAGGGAUGCUAAUACCGCAUACGUCCUACGGGAGGAAGCAGGGGAUCACUUGUGACCUUGCGCUAAUAGAUGAGCCUAAGUGGGAUUAGCUAGUUGGUGGGGUAAAGGCCUACCAAGGAGACGAUCUGUAGCGGGUCUGAGAGGAUGAUCCGCCACACUGGGACUGAGACACGGCCCAGACCCCUACGGGAGGCAGCAGUGGGGAAUAUUGGACAAUGGGGGGAACCCUGAUCCAGCCAUGCCGCGUGUGUGAAGAAGGCCUUAUGGUUGUAAAGCACUUUAAGCGAGGAGGAGGCUCUUUUGGUUAAUACCCAAGAUGAGUGGACGUUACUCGCAGAAUAAGCACCGGCUAACUCUGUGCCAGCAGCCGCCGCCG
rnacentral:rRNA from 1 species